CACGGAGCAAGUUAAGCUAAUUUUGGGGUGGAAAAUGAAAACAUUAAAAAAUAACAUUAUUUUUACUUUUACAGAAAAAUGUCAACAUCGACCAGCAUUGCACAAUCGAUGAUCGUCAAAGAAGAAACACGCGACAACACUACAUACAUGUGACUAAAAUAACUUUAUUUAUAUACUGGAUAGCUCGAACAUUCACCAAACUGCUCCCCUAGAGGUCCAGUACGUAUAAGGGCGAUCUUCGCAGAUCAUCCGUUCAAAUUCUCUACUUUGAGUCAAAUGCCUAAAUUGGAUGCAUCAUUAGUUGAGAUUUGUCUUUAACGAUAUAAUUCAGUAAUUAAUUAAUUAAUUAAUUAAAUUAAUUAAUUAAAUUAAUUAAUUAAUCAUAUUUAUUGGCGGAUAUAAUUAUUUAAUUAUAUUUAAUUGCUAACUAAACACUGAAUUACAUUCGUUAUAUAUAGCCUAUAUGUUUGAACUAAAACGACAAAAAUGUUUAGUCAUUUUCUACUUUCGACUAUUUGCCAUUUGGUGUGAAGAUGCACACAGUAUAGGCUACAAAUGAACUGAAUUCAUGAUAGAAGUUGUAUACAUAUGAAUAUUAAUAUUAUAUUUUGGACAAUUAAUUUUAUGAGGUUAAGGCCUAUUUUAUACGUCGAAUUUUGGUCGAGUCGAAUGCAAUUAAGACAAUAGAUAAUGAGAUGAUAAACAUCAUUAAGCUUCAUAAUCUAUUGUUUGAAUUGCACUCGACGCGACCGAAAUUCGACGUAUAAAACAGGCCCAAGUAUAAGUAGGUACAAUCUUUACUGGACUAAAUGUUGUCCUAAAGCAAUAUAUAUUUGCUCAUAGCUGUAGAAGCAAUUGAACCCGGAUACAUGUGAUACAGUACAAUAUAUAUAAAUAGAUUGAAAACACGAAUAGUGCAUUCACAUUAGACACAAAUUUUUUUCUUAUAUCUUUAGUAACUCACGAGUCUUGAACAAAAUACAAACGAAAUUAAUACAACAAUAUACGGUAUUAAUUUUCUUUGGCUUUGCGUUUUGCUCAUGAAUUAUUGAUGAGAAACAAAUAAUGUAUAUAUACAAUGUAUAUAAAAAUGCUAUAAAUUGUAGCAGUAUUGUUUCUAGUAGUAAUCAAUUAGCCAAGCCCAAGGUUAACAUAAAAUGUAUAAAACCCUAUAUAACCUAGAUGUAUAUAGGCUAGAAUUGUUAGAUAUAACGAUAUAUGUAUAUAUCAAUUACUUAAAGCAAAGUUAGUUUACUAUAUUUUUAUGACGGAUUUUUAGUAAAGCACUCAACGUGUUCUUGAGAUCCUGAUGGCAAUUAAUGUCAAUAAAUAUAUGUACAACAGCUUUGAAACUUCAUGUGAAUUGGUUUUGCAUCUUGAAAUAAAGAGUUAAUAUGAAAA